AGCUAAUUAACUUAAAUAUAAAGUUUGUUUUUUGAAAAUACCCAAUGGAAAAUAGUAAUUCCCUUAGCUUAAUAAACUU
rnacentral:tRNA from 1 species